CCUACGGGUGGCAGCAGUGAGGAAUAUUGGUCAAUGGGCGGAAGCCUGAACCAGCCAAGUCGCGUGAGGGAUUAAGGCCCUGCGGGUCGUAAACCUCUUUUGCCGGGGAGCAGAGGUCCGGACGUGUCCGGGCCGGGAGAGUACCCGGAGAAAAAGCAUCGGCUAACUCCGUGCCAGCAGCCGCGGUAAUACGGAGGAUGCGAGCGUUAUCCGGAUUUAUUGGGUUUAAAGGGUGCGUAGGCGGGCAUUUAAGCCGGCGGUCAAAUGUCGGGGCUCAACCCCGGCCUGCCGUCGGAACUGGGUGCCUUGAGUGGGCGAGAAGUAUGCGGAAUGCGGGGUGUAGGGGUGAAAUGCAUAGAGAUCACGAAGAACCCCGAUUGCGAAGGCAGCAUACCGGCGCCCUACUGACGCUGAGGAACGAAAGUGCGGGUAUCGAACAGGAUUAGAUCCCCGGGUAGUC
rnacentral:rRNA from 1 species